GGGGGGGGCAAGCGUUUGUUCGGAUUUACUGGGCGUAAAGGGCUCGUAGGCGGCCAACUAAGUCGGUUGUGAAAUCCCUCGGCUCAACCGGGGAACUGCGACCGAUACUGGAUGGCUUGAAGCCGGGAGAGGGAUGCGGAAUUCCAGGUGUAGCGGUGAAAUGCGUAGAUAUCUGGAGGAACACCCGUGGCGAAGGCGGCAUCCUGGACCGGUCUUGACGCUGAGGAGCGAAAGCUAGGGUAGCAAACGGGAUUAGAUACCCCGGGUAGUCCUAGCUGUAAACGAUGAAUGCUUGGUGUGGCGGGUAUCGAUCCCCUGCCGUGCCGUAGCUAACGCGUUAAGCAUUCCGCUUGGGGAGUACGGUCGCAAGGCUG
rnacentral:rRNA from 1 species